rnacentral:rRNA from 1 species
GUCGAACGAGGUCCAUCCGAUCUUCGGAUUGGUGAAGACCUAGUGGCGAACGGGUGCGUAACACGUGAGAAACCUGCCCCGGUCUCUGGGAUAACAGUUGGAAACGACUGCUAAUACCGGAUACCGACGGACCGUCGCAUGGCGGACCGUCGAAAGGGUUACCGGAUCGGGAGGGUCUCGCGGCCUAUCAGCUUGUUGGUGAGGUAACGGCUCACCAAGGCAUCGACGGGUAGCUGGUCUGAGAGGAUGAUCAGCCACACUGGGACUGAGACACGGCCCAGACUCCUACGGGAGGCAGCAGUGGGGAAUAUUGCACAAUGGGCGAAAGCCUGAUGCAGCAACGCCGCGUGCGGGAAGAAGGCCCUAGGGUUGUAAACCGCUUUCAGCAGGGAAGAAAAUGACGGUACCUGCAGAAGAAGGUGCGGCCAACUACGUGCCAGCAGCCGCGGUGACACGUAGGCACCAAGCGUUGUCCGGAUUUAUUGGGCGUAAAGAGCUCGUAGGCGGUUCAGUAAGUCGGGUGUGAAAACUCUGGGCUCAACCCAGAGACGCCACCCGAUACUGCUGUGACUAGAGUGCGGUAGGGGAGCGGGGAAUUCCUAGUG